rnacentral:rRNA from 1 species
GACGAACGCUGGCGGCGUGCCUAAUACAUGCAAGUAGAACGCACAGUUUAUACCGUAGCUUGGUACACCAUAGACUGUGAGUUGCGAACGGGUGAGUAACGCGUAGGUAACCUGCCUGGUAGCGGGGGAUAACUAUUGGAAACGAUAGCUAAUACCGCAUAAUAUUAAUUAUUGCAUGAUAAUUAAUUGAAAGGUGCAAUUGCACCACUACCAGAUGGACCUGCGUUGUAUUAGCUAGUAGGUGAGGUAACGGCUCACCUAGGCGACGAUACAUAGCCGACCUGAGAGGGUGAUCGGCCACACUGGGACUGAGACACGGCCCAGACUCCUACGGGAGGCAGCAGUAGGGAAUCUUCGGCAAUGGACGAAAGUCUGACCGAGCAACGCCGCGUGAGUGAAGAAGGUUUUCGGAUCGUAAAGCUCGGUUGUAAGAGAAGAACGGGUGUGAGAGUGGAAAGUUCACACUGUGACGGUAUCUUACCAGAAAGGGACGGCUAACUACGUG